GUGCAGGACAGGAGCAGGGCGGAAGAAUACUUGAGCCAGAGCCUGCCAUACCUGGGGGACGCUCAGGCCACCUUGCGAGAGGUGGCCGUGAGGUUCAUCGGGCUUGCUGCGCGGCCCCUGAGGGACCAAAGCAGGGAGAAGCUGGCUGAGAUCUGCAGGGCUCUUCAGCCCAUGCAAGAAGACAGCGAACCCGCCAUCUGUUCCCUGGCACUUCAGACC